rnacentral:rRNA from 1 species
GACGAACGCUGGCGGCGUGCCUAAUACAUGCAAGUCGAACGCUGAAGGAGGAGCUUGCUUCUCUGGAUGAGUUGCGAACGGGUGAGUAACGCGUAGGUAACCUGCCUGGUAGCGGGGGAUAACUAUUGGAAACGAUAGCUAAUACCGCAUAAGAGUAGAUGUUGCAUGACAUUUGCUUAAAAGGUGCAAUUGCAUCACUACCAGAUGGACCUGCGUUGUAUUAGCUAGUUGGUGGGGUAACGGCUCACCAAGGCGACGAUACAUAGCCGACCUGAGAGGGUGAUCGGCCACACUGGGAAUGAGACACGGCCCAGACUCCUACGGGAGGCAGCAGUAGGGAAUCUUCGGCAAUGGACGGAAGUCUGACCGAGCAACGCCGCGUGAGUGAAGAAGGUUUUCGGAUCGUAAAGCUCUGUUGUAAGAGAAGAACGAGUGUGAGAGUGGAAAGUUCACACUGUGACGGUAUCUGACCAGAAAGGGACGGCUAACUACGUG